rnacentral:lncRNA from 10 species
UAUUUUUGCAUAACUGGAUUAUUUCAAAAGGGAUUCUGAGAUAAUGAGAUUCUUUCUUCUGCCUGAUCUAGUAUACUGUUGAAGCUUUCAAAUGUAUUGCGAGCUUUUGUAUUUCCUUCAAUGAAUUUUUCCCUUCCAGAAUUUCUAUUUGGUUAUUUUAAAAAAUGUAUUUUUUGGUUAAAUUUCUCAUUCAUAUCCUGAAUUCUUUUCUGAUUUUUUUUUGUAUUGUUUUUCAGAAUUCUCUUGUAUCUCACUGAGCUUCUUUAAAUCAAUGUUUAAAAUUCUUUAUCUGGAAUUUCAAAAAUUUCUUUUUGAUUAAAAUCUAUUGCUAGAGAAUUAUUGUGUUCCUCUGGAGGUGUCAUAUUUUCUUGCUUUUUCAUGUUUCCUGGGUCCUUAUGUUGCUAUCUGAUGUGAUGGUUGGUGUAACAGUUGUUUCUUCUCAUUUUUGAAUUUACUUUUGCAGGGGAGGACUUUUUCUGAAGUUGCAUCUAUGGAGUUGCUUGGGUAGGAUACGUUGGCUUUGAUUCUGAGUGCAUGCUGUAGUGUAGUCUCUGUAUGAUUUAUUUGACUGUAAACAGCAUAGUAGUAUCUGUGCUUUCCUUAGUGAGUUAGGGUGUGGUUAUUACUGAAGGCUGUGGUGAAGUUGUGUUGGGGGACUAGCAUGCCGUGUGUGCCAAUAUUCAGGCCCCAAUGGUGGCAGCUGUGGGCUGAAUAUGCCUAUAUUUUAGCCCCAAGGUGGUGUACAAUGGUGCCUGUGUUCAUGGUUACUGGUGGGCCAAUUCUUAGGCUUCCAAAUGGCUUGCUUAGAUUCCAGUAGUGGCAGCGAUGGACCAGGUGAGUGGGUGGGUUCUCAGGCACCUUGGACAGCUGACAUGGCAUAGGUGAUAGCAGUAGCAGAGGUAAGGUGAUUCUCUGGGUCACAGGCAGUAUGCAUUGAUGUUGGUGGUGGCUCCAAUGGACUGGGCAGGCCAGUCUCCAGGCCUGCAUGUGGACUUUGCUGGUUAGCACCAGCUGAGGUGGUAGUGCCAGGAGUUUAGGUCCAACCUCAAAUCCCUGGGAGGAGUGUUCAGGUUCUCAAGGUGGUGGAUUGGGUUGGGCAAUCCCCAGGACCCUGGGCUGUGUGCCGUAUCCUGGAGUUGGAGAUAGGUAAGCCAGAUUGGCUGAGCUUGUGCUCAGGCCUCCCAAAGGUGAGAGCCAUGGUGAUCCUCAGGUCCUAGGUGGAGUGCUCAGGUGAGGAAUGGUAGUAUUGAUGCUAAGGCCCUGCCACUGAAGAGGGUGUAGUCAUCUGCAGUGACUACAGGCUGGGUUGGCAGUGGGGGAACGCACAUCCAUCUCAUGCCCCCUGGCCAGGCAGGCUGCCUCUCUCCCUUCUUUUCCCCUGCUUUUGAUGUUUCCUGUCAUUUCUCUGUUGAAUUCUAGCAUUCUCUCUGGGAUAAUGUAUUUGAAGUGUGAUUAUCUAUAUACUAUUUUGGUUCUUCUUCUUCUUUUUUUUUUUUUUUUUUUUUGAGAUGGAGUCUCACUCUGUCACCCAGGCUGGAGUGC